rnacentral:piRNA from 1 species
UAACAAGACUUCCUGUGUAACUCUUACUA